ensembl:lincRNA
AAGCAUGACCUUAAAAUAAUUUGUCCCCAAGACUGACCUGGACAAGCAGGACAUGGCUUUUCUUUCUUAUUUACUCACUCAGUGUGUAGUCUUCCUGUAUUUAUACACCUCACUGCAGACAUCAUGUUUUCCUUACUGCGUCCCUCCUCUGCUCAGAAUAGAUAGCAGUAUUUGGCCUUGUACUAUAUUAUAUCAACAAACAAGUGUUUUCAGAGUUCUCAGCCUAUCUGACCUCCAGGAAUUUGGUCAGAGACCACGGAAACUACAAUAUAAUUGACGGUUACUAUUAGUAUUUUUGUCUUAUUUUGAUAUAGUUGUACUUAAAUUUAAAAAAAAAAAAAGUUUGAAGAAAUAUGAGUGAUUGUUCGGUUCCUCACAGUUCAGUGCCGGCGUUUGUUUAACUCCUAACAUGCUGCCAAAGGUCCUUCCUUUGCAACCCCCUUGGCUUACGGUCUCCACGAAAUAAGCUUCACGCAGCAGGUGUGUGUGUGUGUGGGUGGGGGGGGUUCUAUUGCUGGGGAACGCCGGCCUUUCCCUGCAUAGCCACACUCCCAUCCCUCAGAGCAGGGGUAGAGAGGUGAGGGUUGGAGGGAGGGGGAGGAGGGGGGGAACUUCCUGUGCAACCACACCUCUGGUCCUCGCCUCUAUUUCCUAACAAGGACUCUGAACUCGCCCAGUCUAAGCUCCACCCACAGCUCCGCACCUUCCAGUGCCCGAACGUCCUGGGAAUGUUGGAUGAAUUGUGCUUUUUGGCUCUCUGUCGUUUAGGGCACUUUUGAUCAAAUCGAUCCGCAUUUGACCCUUUGCUGUCUAGUUUCUAGAAUCCCGUUGCUAUGAGCCCCCUCCGCAGCUUAUGCUUAAAGUGAUAAUGACAGAACAGCCAAAGUAGCUUCCUUUGCACUCGAGUGAGGUUUCAAGGAAGAGCAGUACAAGCUUGCCUUCAACCUGCCAUCUGGGGUAGGUUUACCCGGUUCUUCAGAGUGGCCCGGUGUCUCCUCCGUGUUCACCCUGUGCAGGCGGAGUGUCUGUUGUUGCUGGACCGGAGGUCUUGAGCCAUGGUUUAUGGCCUGCACUUGUCUUCUUGCACUCUGACGUCCAGAAAGGCCGAGAAAACCAAAGGUUGUUCACAGAGCCAGUAUCUGGCCAGGACACAGGAUUCUGGCAGCACAGAUCUGCCCCACGCUAGGGAGCUCACGUGUUCUCCUUUCCUUCCUUGUUCCCUUCCCCCAGUCUUGCUUUGAGAUAAGGGUUUCAUUAAGUUCCCCAGGCAGUCUUUGAACUUUCAGAGCUCCUGCCUGGGUCUCCCAAGUAGCUAAGACUAAAUGUGCUUAAUUUAAUGUAAAGCAGCCCAGCGGUUCCCCAACCUCACCAGCCUCCCACAGUUUCCCUUGGGAGGAUCUAUAGUCGGCCAGCCAGGGAGGAGACUGGCAUCUGGAAAAAUUCUUUCUUUGGUGCCCUAAACAGCAAAAUGUGUGGCUUUGUAUGUUAGAAGUCACUCCACCAUAGCCGUACCUAAGGAUAGUAUUGGAAAUAUUUAACAGAGGGCGUACUGAGGGCGGUCACCAAUUUGGACCGUCCUUAUGAUUUAAUAAUGCUUACUGACUCACUGGCCACAAGGCUUAGGCUGGGUCCUAGAGUGCUGCAAUUUUCUAUACUUUUCUCUACAUUUAUCAUCUUCUAAUUUCCAGAAAGACGCUUUGGGAAAACGGGUUAGGACUACUCUCCUCCAUGGUAUCUUCCUAAAACGCGUGCAGUCACACCAAGUUUCCUUGCACCUAUGGCGAACGUCGAGUGCAGUCCCUUACCUCUGGGGAGGUGUCUGACAGCAGGGAACUGACAUAUCGUGCCAGGGAUGUGCUUUAAAUGAGGGAAUGAAUGUUGUAGAGCUGAGUUUGGUCCCUCGAAACACACACACACACGAAUGAGUGGGGGUGGGGCUUGUUGGUGUAGGGGUGGGGCUUGUUGGCAUAAGGGUGAGGCCAACUAGGACAUUCUCAUCAGGCUUGUGCAGAGGAUCUGUCUGCCCAGCUUCUCUUUUGCACUGUGCUUUUUGUUUCUCCACAUCUUAUUGAAAUGUAACAUCUAGAAAAACGUCAAUUCCCCCAAAUGGUUUAUUAGAUGAUUUUUCCCUCUUCCUCUUCUGUUCCGUUGAACCUGAGUCGCGCACACUGCCCAGGGCUUCUGUGCUUCUGAGCUGCUUUAGCUUUGCCCUUCCUGCUCCCAAGUGGUUCCCAAGGGUUAGCACACUGCGCCUGGCUUCCCUUUGUCCUCUCCAUCAAAGGGAUCAUACAGUGCGGCGGCAUUCACCGUUUCUCGCGCUGGACCAUGCAGUGUGCAUUUUUAUUUUGUUUUUUUGCUUGUUUGUUUGAGACACGGUCGCUGCCUUGGCUGUCCUGGAACUAUGUAGACCAGGAUGGCUUCAAGCACUCACAGAGAACUGCCUGUCCAUGUUUCCCAAGAGCUGGGAUUAAAGGUGUAUGCUACC